GUUGGAAUGCUAGUAGACAUCAGACUCUGACUCAAAACGACAGUGUGCCCUCCAAUUUAGCUGCCGAUUUAGAGUCAUUGAAUAUUGAUACCCCAUUUGCACCGAACGGACCUGAAAUUGAAGACAAAAUAGAUGAGCUCUUCAGUGAAGGUAGUCAGGAGCUAGAGUUCUCCGAGCUCUUCUCGGAGUUGCAGAGUAUGAAGGAGCGAGUUGCAAAUUUGCCAUCCGAAGAAAGAAAAGCAUGCGCAGAAAAAGUUGUCAUGGCAUUCUGGAAAGCGAUUGGUGGAGAUGAUGACGAAAUAAAUUGUGAUGAUGAAGAAGGCUAACAAUAGUAUUGAUUGAGUAGUCCUCAAAAAGUUUGCAUGCUGCCUUGCACUGAACUCACGGUAGUCAAUGAUCGAAUGCCAGUUGCCGCUUUCGAGAACUUGUGUCCUUCCAGCACAUCUCAGAUCAAAGCUUUUUUCCGAGGAGUGGAGGUGGAGGUAUCAGAUUCUCCUCGGAUGUUGGAAGUUCUGAGUUCUGACUUUUCCUGUUGUUUGUAUUUAUUCUGUUUGUUGGAACUUCUGGGAUCAUGCAUAUCAAGAGACAAUGAUGUGUCUUUACGUAGAUUCAUUGUGGGAGAAUCUGUGGUUUCUCCCAUGGAUUCACUGGAAAAUGAGAAAAUAGAAAUAGUCAGUAGAAUUCAAUUGAAAAUUUUUUCAUCAAGAGAGAGAGAGACAUUUUUUCAACAGGAAAGAAACAUUUUCUGUUUGUGUAACUCAAAUCUAGCAAUGAGAUUGGUCGUGGGGUACAGGAGAUAUAACUUUUGUUUGAUGCAUAGUCGUACACGGCUGCACUGUGAAUAAAUUUUAUUUCUUAAACAUUGUUCGGUGAGAGAUUUACACUUGGUAUGUUGUUAUCUCUAAUCUUUAAACAAGAUAUUUUUUUUUUUUUUUUUUUUUUUUUUUUUGUCAAAGAAAGUCAUUUAUUGGAGUGUUGUUACAUGUUGUUUAACAAAUUAAAUAAAUAAAUAAAUAAAAGUAAAUAAAUAUUAGGAUGUGACUUCCCGAGACACGCCGGAAUUACCAGAAGGUAUAUCUUCGGCUGGAGGGGGGGGUAGGGGGUUAGCGUGUGUAGGGUUUUUGUAUUGUAGGGAUUUAAUUAGGAGAAUGUCUUUUGUAUAUUUUGGAUCGUAGUCCAGUUAAACUUACUAAUUUGAAGGGUUUUUUGAAAAUUAUCUGGGGUUAAUAUUGUAUUGAGUUCGGUAUCAAGAGUCAGUUUUUUGGCAAUGAAACGAGAGCAAAAGAAAAAAGUAUGCUCCGGCGUAUCUCGGUCAGUCACACAAAAUUUACACAUAUCAGUAUCUGUCUUUUUAAAUCUGUAUAAGUAGGAGCCAAAAACACCAUGCCCUGUGAAGAGCUGCGUCAUAUAAAAGUCCGGAUAUCCAUGCUUCCUCUUAAGCCAAGAUUCUGGGUCCGAGAUCAGCCGCUUGCACCAGGAGUCUCCCGGAUUUACCCUCCAACGAUCGCACCAUUCAUCAAUUAUAUCCUCGUGUAUGUCUUGAAAAUUUUCGGUUUUUAAAGAUCUUCUAUACUUUUCGUCUAAUAGUAGAUCCGUUGGAGGAACUCCGGAUAGGAUAUCAAGACAAUUAGCUGACGCAGUCCUAUAGGCCAUGCAGAGGGCUCGCUUGACAGGGCGCAAUGUCUUAGUGAUCUCAUUUAAAUUAUAUUUCAGUUUUAAAGCAGGCGAGUCUCCCCAGGCUGCAAUCCCGUACAAUAUGAUAGAGAACACAGCCUGGAAAAUCAUCAUUCUACGUUUAUACUGUGAGCCAAAACAGUUAGGAACAAUGGAGCGGAGAGCAUUGAUCGUCUUUUUAGCUUUGUUGCAAACCGUGUGAACGUGCUGGGACAUUCUCAGACCCUUGUCCAAAUGGAAUCCAAGGUGUCUGAGGGAUGUCCCGGCAUUAACCGGUACAUUAUCGACAAUAAUCUCUACGUCCUUCAAUCUUCUUGGCGCCUCUAUCAGUAGAGCCUCAGUUUUCGAGGGUUCCAAAGUAAGGUCUCUCUCCUGUAGACCCUGUUUAACAAUUUUCAUAACCCUGUCUGUUUCAAAUUGUAAGAAACUUGGGGAACAAGAUAUGACAAAAGUAAAUCAUCCGCAUAUGCAAUGAUUCUAGAUGGAUUAAGGUCUAAUUUAACAAUUUCAUCAUAUAUUAGGUUCCAUAGUAAAGGGCCCAAGAUCGAACCCUGUGCCGCUCCAGAGGUUAUUUUUAUCAGAGUACCAUCUGAGACCAGGUAUCUGUUUGAAAGGUAACUCUGUAUAAUUGCCAAAAUGUAAGGAGGGGCGAAUUGCUUUACUAAACAUUGGAUGACGUCUCUCCACCUAAGACUAUUGAAAGCAUUUUUCACAUCCACCCCUAUGAGACACAGAGUUUUCCUGUGUUUCCAGGGGAGGAGACGGUUCUCAUCAUAGAUUUUCCUGAGGGAGCGGAGCGCAUCGAGUGUCGAUCUCCCCCUACGGAAACCAAACUGAUUAUCAGAUAUUUUUACAAAACUUAGCAUUCUUUCAUAUAAUACAUAUUCUAAUAAUUUUGAAAAACUGCUCAACAUACAAAUCGGUCUGUAUUUCGUAGCUGGUGAAAGAGAACUCUUAGCUAUAAGUGCCAGUCUGGCAAUUUUCCAACUGUCCGGAAACUCUGAGGUAGCUAGAAGAGUGUUAAACAUUUGAAGUACUUUAUUAAUGUUGGAGGUGACAAAAGUUUUUACAAUUACUGGGUCGAUGUAGUCGGGCCUGGUGCCUUAUUAGGUUUCAAGCGACCGAGGGCACUUUUUAGUUCAUUGACAGUUAUGACAGGAAUCUCAUCUUUGUUUAUUUCAGGCUUAUCCCAGAUUAUUUCCGAAUGAGUAGGAAAGAGAUCGGAUAUUAAUUUCCUACUCUCCUGGGUUGACAGUGAGUGAACGUCGUGUUUUUUACUAUUUUUGAACCUAUACAUAACCGAUUUGUAUGCCCUUCCGUAGGGAUCUUUCUCGAGAUUGUUAACCCAACUUCUCCAGGUACUUCUUUUUGAUUUGGAAAUUUCAAAGGCGAGAAGUGAGCGUGCUUCCUUUAAUUUACUUCUCAGGAGAUUUGUAGGUCUCUGUAGGCCAUUGAAAAA
rnacentral:lncRNA from 1 species